GUACUUAGCCUUAUUAAGCAAUCAGCUAUGCGGUUCUCUUCCUUGUAUGUAUGGUUGAAAUUGAGUUGCCAUUCCUUAUUGAUAAGGGAGUAAAUUCUCUUUAUUAGACUAUUUGGAUGUUUUUUUGCUCUGAUUUUUACAACAAGAACUUCUAUCAUUAUUUUGGAAUCUAGUUCCAUCAUUGUCCUUUUAAAUCCUAACUCCUACAACAUUUUGAAACCAUAAUAAAUUCUCCAUAGUUCUGCUUGAUAAGCAUUACAUGUCCCUAAAUUUUCUAUAAAACCUGCUAUACAUCAUCCAUUCUCAUCUCUCACAACUCCACCGCAUUCAGCUGGUCCAGGAUUACCCGCUGACCUCCCAAUUGAAUUCAUUUUACCCAUCCUUGUGGAGGCCUAUUCCAUUUUAUGUUCGCUUAAAAUCUGGUUACGACUAUGUUUAAGAGACUUUCUUUUUUGAAAGUUGUGUAAAUCUCCUCAACAUGGUGAGCUGUAAGCUGAUGUAGACUUGGGGGGUUUACUCACUGUUGGGGUGAAUACUUCUGUGUUUUUCAUUUUCAGAUCCACUAAUAUCCAAUUAUAAAUCUAUCCAUCUAAGAGUCAUUUAGUUUGUUGCUCAGUUCUGAGGUGAGGUUUCACCUUAGUCAAGUGUUGAAGGGAGCUCUGAAGAAGCUUUUAAUUUUAAAGAGAUGCAUUAAUCUUGUCUAGAUCACUAGGCAACCACAAAGCGCAUGUAUAAAGGUUUCUUCUGUUCCAACAUAUCUAUGACAACUAGAAACAACCAUGGUUCUAAAAAUGGGAUCGAGCUGGCCAGUCAGAUAGGUCCAACCGUAAACCAGUAACAGCAACGGUUCGGUUAACCAUGUGAAACUACUGAGCAAAAAAUCAGUGGCGAACCACUAAACCAGCUGGUUGGCUCGGACCGAGAACUAGACAGUUUAAAGGAAACGAUGCCGUUUUGAAUCGCUGAAUGUCUGAAAUGAAUCAAAUCUCUCAAGCAUGCCUCUCACUGCUCUUCCUCUCAGCUCUCACUCAAGCAGAAAAGACUUUCUUCUGCAAUCCUAGCAUCUCUUCGAUCUACUACUAUUGUCCGUCCGUGGAGCCACUACUCUUUUCCGUCCAUCGAGCUACUACCACCGUUCGUCCAUCAAGCCAUUGCCCCCAAGUCUCCAAUCCCUGCUUUCUUCUUUUGUGAGCUCAGCCCAUCCAUCGUCUUUAGCUGUUCACCAUUAUUUGGUCGACAUCGUCUGUUGCGGUAAUUGGUCUUUGAAUCACCAAUCUGUCAGCGUUGUCUUCAAAGGGUUGGAAAAUGAAGGUGAAGAUUAUCCCAAUACAACAAAUCUACAGCACAUUUUUGCAGAUUUUGAUGAUUUAUGAUAAACUUUUAUAUUAGCAUUUUGUAUUUGGAUAUUUUUUUUUGUUAUUUUACUUUUAAUUUUGUACUUUUUCUAAAGAUCUUAAGGCUUUGGUUGAUGACAUGAAUGUAAUACUUUAAAUUUAGAAGAUAUUUCAAAGUUUAUAUUAGAGUAUAAUUAUAUUUUAGAGUAUUUAUUUAUAAUUUAUUUAUUAUUUCAUUAUAAAAUUAUUUUUCUGGUUGAACCACAGUUGAACCAGUUGGACCAGUGACUAGAACGAUUCGA